rnacentral:lncRNA from 1 species
UGGUUCAGGGAUAGGCCCUUAGUCCAAUCAGAGACCAUGAAAUGCAAUGAGGCUUUGCCUAGAAAUGCUGAGCUAAAGAUCUUCACUUUCUAUGCAGGUUUUGAAGCCAGGAGCCCCUCUUCUUGAGAUCUAUUGGCAACCAUCUUGUGAAGGAAGAGCCCAUUGUGUAGGAGGCAGAUGCUGGAGAAAAAGAGACAACAGGGCCGGGUUUUAUCAUUUGAGACUUGAGUAAAGUCAUACCGGAAGUCACACCCAGUCUACCCUGGGAAGCUUGGUUACAAGGGCCAGUAAAUUCCCUUUUCUUUUCUUUUCUUUUCUUUUUUUUCUUUUUUUUUUUUAAGAGAUGGGGGUCUUACUCUGUUUCCCAGGUUACUCUCGAACUCCUGGCCUGAAGCCCCCUGUCUCUGCCUCCCAAAGUUCUGGGAUUACAGGCUUGAGCUACUGUGCCUGACUAAAUUCCCUUUUUGAUUAAGCCUGUUUAGAUUAGGUUUCUUGUCAACCUGCAACUGAAAGAAUUAUCGCCAAUACAAGGUACAAAGUCCUGAAAGGCAGCUGAUCAGAAGGACCCAUUUUAUCUGCCACCACGUGUUUUUGGACAGUGUGCUCAGUUUGGGAUGUAACUUUGCUGAGACACCCAACCUUGCGUGACCUUGAGCCAAACACAACUCUUAGGAUGUAACCUGCUUUACAAGAUGAGAAAGACACGAGUAAAAACAUCAGCAGACUCUGGAAGGUAAAUGAACAAUCCUGAUAACACCCAGCCCUUCCCCCGAGGCGGGCUUUUAAGCAUGAUCUUGCUUGUCCUUGAAAUCAUCCCUGUGAAGGCAGGGAGAGGGAGGACCAUUAUCUCCAUCUUACAGAGAGAGAAACCAGGCACUGAAAAUAGACAGCAACCCACACAGCGGGUCAUGCUGGCAUUAGACUCAAGGCCACAUGAGUGUUGGCCCUGACCUGUUUCUUCUGCCCCAUGGAGGACCA